GCCGUGCAAGAGAGGAAUUCCUAUGCUGUUAGUGUGUGGAAGAGGGUGAAGGCCAAACUGGAAGGGAGAGAUCUGGACCCUAACAGGAGAAUGAGCGUCACUGAGCAGGUGGAUUAUGUCAUCAAGGAGGCGACAAACUUGGACAACCUGGCACAGUUGUACGAGGGAUGGACAGCAUGGGUGUGAACGGGAUCCUUGUAGAUCACUUUGGUCCAGCGAGGGUAGAAAUCCACCAAAAUCCACUGGGUCUGGGGCAAUGGAGCCACAGAGCACCAUGCAGGAAAGGGGGGGGGGUGUAGAGAGCCUCCCUCUGGCCCACACCGGAUCCCCGUAGCACAGCUACACCCGGCGAUCCAGCUAACACAAUGAAAUGGGUCUGCAUCUGUCUCCCCGAGAUGUGUGGGGAGCUCACCAAGAUGGGGAGGUGGGGGGGGGGGACAAAGCACAUGCGGCUUGAACUACCCCCCCCAACCAACCCCUGUAUCAACACCAACAAAUAAAUGUCUGUCAACUAUCAAAACUAAUAGGAUUUGCCACAGGGAAAAUUUGCAGGAGUUUAUCCACUCUUAGAGCAAAGGUCUGCGGUAAUUAGCGAGUUUCUAGACUGCAUUUGUGCGAGAGUGGAGGGGAAAGGGUGAUCCGGUCUUGGAGGGAUCCUAUGGCCUCUGUUUUUGAAUGGCUCGGGAUCAGGCACGACUUGCGGCUGGGUUGUCUCCUGCUGGAGCGGGUGUGGAGGGCUAUGUGACCAGAAGGCUCAAAGGACUCCAUUUGAACCAGAAGGCCUUUGGCAGACCUUAGAGUUCGUUCUUAACCACAAAAAAAACCUUUUCCCUUCAAGUAUAUAUAGAAAACGCUGCAAAAAGAACUUUUUACACCUUCUCCAAUGUACUGCACGGAUUUCACAAUUAAAAGGCAAAUCGCAAAGUGGCUUUGGGAACAUUCACUGUCACGUGUUUCUGAAUGUUUGGCACAAUGAAUGAUGUGCUUGGAGUUGGUAAGUGCUCAGUCUCUUUGAUUUGAUCGUUGAGUAUGACCCAGGCUCAAUGUGGUCAGUUUCUAAAUGCUUUUUUUCUUAGUAUGCAUCUCUGAUAUUGUUUGUGUAUUGUAGAUUCUUUCUCCCUUUCCUUCUUUGCUAUGGAUUUAGUCUAGAUUGCUCCUUUUUUUGACUUGCCUGUGGAAGUGUAUCAUCGCUGAUACAUGUCCCCAUUAAAGCUUGCGUUUUACUGAUCUUGACCUAGUUUUACAUUUUUAGUGGGAGAAAUAAGUAAAGGAAUAGUGAUGUGGUGAUGGUUACAAUAUUGUUGUCUCUUAAUGGUUUUACUCCACUUUGUUGGUCAAAUAAAACUCUAA